GGAUCCACGACCAGUCGUUGUGGCUUGAUGCUGACCCUCUCCUCCUCUUCAUCGUGCGCUACACCCGAUGCUACUGUCGCCUCUCAACCGUAGAUGUUGUCCGCCCUCUCGCGCGAAACAGUAGCCAACCAUGGGAGAGCAGAGAGUGCAGCUUGCCAACGGGCAUCUCUCCUUUCAUCUCCGAGUCCAUCUUCUUUCGAUCUCACGCCUCGGCGUUGUCCAACCCACCUCCUUUGAUCCUGAUUCGUGCCCUAGAUCUUACCCGAUCGUCGGUGUGGGUGGGCUUUCAGGGCUCUGAGGGAUCAGAGCCACCCCCUGGUCAGAUGUGGAGCUUCCGUCUAUAUUUCCCCAACUAGCACUGUUUCCGGCCAACAACACGGUUUCGACCAGAUUCGAUGAUCGAUUGUGGACAGGAUUUCAGUUUCACCUUGCUCCGACCACAAUUGUCCAACAACAAGAAUCUUCGGCUGUGAGGCAAUAGAGGCGCCUUGGAAUUUGGCGUGCUCACGGACUCCCGACAGCUCGGAUCACAACACGAUCUCGCGUUCGCGCCUCUACGGUAUCCACACGAACAAGCGUUUGUUUAUAUCACAAACACACAAAAGGAGAAAGGUUGUGCUAGCAACCUUGAAAGUGGAUUUCAACCAAGAGAAAAGGAGUAAGGAGAAUGAAGAGAAUUAAUCCCAAAAGGAAGAGCAAAAAGCUUAAGUAUUUUCAUCCAAUGAAAAUACUUAAUUAGCAUCAAUAGCCUUAAUGAGUAUUUACACUCCAUUAAGGACCAAACUUGUAACUCCUCAUUUCAAAAA